UCCCAGCUAGCUAUUUAAAGAGCCUGAAUUUCAGGAUUGACAUGCUUUAUUGUCUAGAACAAGAAACAAGUGCAUUGACUGGACACCAUUUACAGAAUCCUAAGAGAAUAUUUGCUGUAAUCGGGAUAGCAGGACAAACAGGAUAGGAAUUUCUCCUGAGAAUAAAUCUCUUAAUCUGUUCAUAUGAGACCAUCCACUUAAAUCUUCCCCGAUUCCCUUGCAGACAAGUUGUAUGUUUCAACACAGUUUUGUCUGAUUGUCUGACCUUUAGGAUUUUCCUACUUUUUUGACUUGUCAAAAAACAAAAAAGAUUUUCUCCUAGUUCUAUUGCUUGGUCAACGUAAGCUCCUUUUAUUUUCUUCUUUAUUGUUCUGGAAUAUGCGAACUGUAGUACUUGCCUUUCUGAUUGCUACUUAGACCACUCCCAUGGAGGGCAGAAAGGAAUAUACUUUUCCCCUGUUCUAUGCACAGGAAGUCAGAAAUGGCCUUAUACCAGUCUAGUAAUUGAGAUAAAACAUCCUUUAGUAAGGGUAAAGAGGGUCAGAGCUCACAAAGUCCAGGAGAUACUUCCAUCUCAGAAUAGUAAAGCUAUUGCUUAAGAUCUUUUAUGAUUUUUGACAACCACUUGGUAGAACCCAGGUACUAAAUAUGUUCUGUAACAUGUCAAGAGAUGCCUGCCUAGCUAAGAUCAACAACCAUUGUUAUCAUCUUACCUGCAGUUCCUUGGAGGAAUUCAGUGGGUAACGGCUUCUCUUAUGGAUGGUACUUUCACCCUUCUUUCUGUGACUUGCAGAUUCACAGUACCAGAAAAGAAGAGGGUAGAGGAUAGGAUCUGAAUAUUGCAUUUCAAUAUGUUACCUUUACCUUCUGGUUGUAACGUUUUGUCAGUCACCUCUAGGAAUAUUGUAACUGCAGUUGUAUCUAGUUUUGUCUGUAAUGUGCCUUCUCCAUCCACAUCCUUUUGUUGUUUCUAUUUGAACUGCAUUUAAUGGUAGCAUUAUCUUAUAACCAGCUUGUUGCUAUCUGAUGUGUCUUGAGGUCAUUUGAAAUAUUGAGUACCAACUUGUCAUCUUGGUCGUAUAACAAUAUGUAUUUUCAUAGCAACAAAAAAUGAGUAUUUUCAUAGACU